rnacentral:tRNA from 1 species
GGCUUGGUGGCUUAGUUGGUAAAGCGCUCGUCUAGCAUACAAGAGUCCUGGGUUCAAAUCCCAGCAGAGCAC